AAGAGAAAAAAGUUAUUUUGUUACGCCAAAUGCAAAGUUAUUUUGUCGUGGAAAGAGAAAAAAAGAUGAACAAUUAGAAGACAUGUAACAAAGAAAACAUAUGGUAGAAGACGAACUGCAUUAUUACAUAAACAGAAAGAAACAAGUCUGUGGUAUAUAAUUAUUAUGAUAAACACAACUCUUCAUUUAAAUAGAGAAGCCAUGCAUUACUACAUGCAAUCACACAGUUAGGCAAGAAAAUAGCCUAGUCACACUCAUGUUAAGUGAUCACAUGGUAUCAAUAUAGCAGCGAUAUGUAGAAAG
rnacentral:lncRNA from 1 species